ensembl:lncRNA
CUCAAACACGGUUCCCAUGGGUUUGCUGUCAUUCAAUUCGUCGUUCUAUACAUUAUUAUGAGCGUCCUUAGCAGUCUCCUAUGGCUGCUGAUGGCUUCAAUACUAAAGAACCGUUAUUUGGACAGCGCAUAGAUGAUUUAUGUGAGCGCUGGUGUGCCAUCCUGAACAAAUGCUCUAUUGAUUUAAUGACAUUAAUUCUUGACCAGUUGAAACAUGAUUUUAUUGAAAUGGAUAACACGAUUGAAGACAAACGCAUAUUCUACAAAUAGCUGUUAAUGAUGAUGGCAUAUUCAAUGAACUGAUGAAAACUAACCAAGCGCUCC